UGGUAGCUGGGUGUCGUCUUCAGUCAGCUUUGCAGUAGUUGGAUGAAUCGGUCGACGUUGACAGUCCUUGAGAUAUGACAGUGCUUUUGUAGUAGAGGGCUAACUUUAGCUAAACCGUUAGGUUGAGACGUCUACAGACACAUUGAACGAAAGGGGGAUUUAGUGCCAAGGCGUUUUUUCUUCAUCAAAGUUUUGUAUUUCGUUAGCCUUUAUAUCUUUUUGUUAAAUUACCCUGGGUUUUUUGCGUCCUCUGGUAAAGGGUGCUAAUUUAACUUGAGCUAAAUGGCUAGCUAGCGCUUUAUCAACUUGUGAAUCUCCCAACUUGUUCUCUGUGAGCUGCAACGACCUCUUUUCAUCUGGGGAAGUAGCUAGCGGGGGCUUGUAGCCUGGUCAUUCAGUUAGGAAGCACAAUAACGUGCUUUGAGAGCUAGAAUAAGUUAAAGUGCUAGUAAAGGGGGCUAGCCAGUUUAGAAUAUGAAAGGGGUACAGUCUGACACUUUAGGUUUUGUUCCUCAAAAAGAUAUUGUGUACAACAAACUUUUGCCCUACGCAAAUAGGUUAGAUGAUGAGUCCAAUGAAAUUUUGAGCAAAAUUAAGGGAAACCUGGGCCGAGCUGUUCAGCUGAGAGAGAUAUGGCCCGGUGUUCUGUUUUGGACAAGAAAACUUUCAACGUACAUGAGACUGUACGGAAGGAAGUUCAGCAAAGAAGACCAUGUGCUGUUCAUCAAGCUGCUCUAUGAGCUAGUGACGAUCCCCGGACUGGAGAUCAGCAUGAUGCAAGGGCUUUCUCGCCUUCUUAUCAACCUUCUCAAGAAAAGAGAAUUGUUGUCGAGGGAGGACCUUGAGUUGCCAUGGAGACCGUUGUAUGAGCUGUAUGACAGAAUUCUGUUUUCCAAGACGGAACAUCUGGGUCUCAACUGGUUUCCCAAUUCUCCACGGCCUCGUUCUUCUAAACUCAUAAUGUUAAAAUUGAUUCAGAGGUGCUCAGUGGAAAGUGUGCUGAAAACACUUGUGAAAAACUGCAGACCGUACUUCUCAGAGACUGCUACUCAGGAGAUGCUGGAUGAGUGGAGGCCACUCCUCUGUCCCUUUGAUGUCACUAUGCAAAGAGCAAUCAGCUACUUUGAGCUUUUCUUACCUACAACUCUGCAUCCUGAGCUUCAUCACAAGGGGUUUCAGUUGUGGUUUGAUGAGCUGAUCAGCUUGUGGGUGUCUGUUCAAAAUUUCCCAAGUUGGGAAGUUCACCUGGUGAAUCUCUUUGCUCGCUUGGCAAACGACAACAUUGGCUACAUCGACUGGGACCCUUACAUUCCUAAGAUUUUCACAAGAAUUCUGAGGAGUUUGAACCUUCCUGUGGGAACCAGUCAAAUGAUAGUACCACGCUACGUUACCAUUGCCUACGACAUUAACCACGUGGUGGUUUGGGUGUCGUCUCUACUGGGUGGACCCAGCAAGCAGGCUCAAGCUCAGCUCAGUGGCCUCUUUAACAGCAUCACAUCCUUCUUCCAUCCGUCAAACCACGGCCGCUGGCUGAUGAAACUGAUGAAGCUGCUUCAGCGUCUCCCUGCCAGCGUGGUGCGGCGGCUGCACCGAGAGCGCUACAGAAAGCCCUCGUGGCUCACACCGAUUCCAGACAGUCACAAACUCACGGAGGAGGAUAUCACAGACUUUGUGCUGAGUAUGAUGCAGCCAGUUCUGCUCGCCAUGUUCAGCAAGACUGGGAGUCUCGAUGCAGCUCAGGCUCUGCAAAACCUAGCUCUGAUGCGUCCCGAGCUGGUCAUCCCCCCUGUUCUUGAGAAGACGUAUCCUGCUCUGGAGACCCUAACCGAGCCCCACCAGCUAACAGCCACUUUAAGCUGCAUGAUUGGCGUAGCACGAAGCCUGGUGUCAGGCGGGUCGCGCUUCCCUGAGGGGCCCACUCACAUGCUGCCCCUGCUCAUGAGGGCUCUCCCUGGCGUGGACCCAAAUGACUUCAGCAAGUGCAUGAUCACAUUCCAGUUCAUCGCUACGUUUGUGACUCUUGUGCCUUUGGUGGACUGUUCGUCUGCCCUACAUGAACGAACGGAUUUGACGGAGGUUGAAAGGGAGAUGUGCUCUGCCUCAGCUGAGUUUGAGGACUUUGUGCUUCAGUUCAUGGACAGAUGCUUUGCCCUGAUAGACAGCAGUACUCUAGAACAAACCCGAGAGGAGACGCAAACGGAGAAAAUGACUCAGGUGGAGAGUCUGGUAGAGCUCGGCCUUUCCUCCACCUUUAGCACCAUCCUCACCCAGUGCUCCUUGGAUAUUUUUAAGGUGGCUCUGGAAAAGGUGUUCAACUUUGCGACAACCAACAUCUUUGAGACGCGUGUAGCUGGACGAAUGGUGGCUGACAUGUGUCGAGCUGCUGCCAAGUGUCACCCUGCAGAGUGUCUCAAGAUGUUCGUGCCGCAUUGCUGCAGUGCUAUAAACCAAAUAGCUGUCCACGAGGAAGUGUUGAACGAGGAAGAGCUUGAUAAAGAGCUUUUAUGGAACCUACAGCUCCUCUCUGAGGUAACUCGGGUGGACGGUGACAAGCUCCUGCCGUAUCAUUCUGGCCUGGUCCAAAUUCUGCAGUUAACUCUCCAUCUCAAGUGUAAACAGGGCUAUAUUCUAGCCUGCAACCUACUGCACCACAUCCUCCGCUCCACUGCCCUGAUCUACCCCACGGAGUACUGCAGUGUGCCAGGAGGCUUCCUUCAGCCAGUCAGCGACUACCUUCCUAUCAAGGACUGGGGUCGGCCGGGGGACCUGUGGAACCUGGACAUCCAGUGGCACGUUCCCAGUGUCGAGGAGAUCUCCUUGGCUUUUUAUCUACUGGACCUGAUCCUCCAGCCUGAACUUCAACGCCUUCAGAGAUUUGCAAAAGGAGAAGAAGACAUGAGCAGAGACGAUGUCCUACAAAGCCUCACCAUCGUUCAGCAUUGUCUUCUGGGAGCAGGAAGUUUGAUGCCUCCACUGAAAGGAGAACCCGUACCUGAACUGGUCAAGAGCAUGGUGAAUCUGGAUGAGACCACACUCUUUACAGGAAUGGAGUACGAUCAGACCAGAGAGAACUACAGAGACGCCAUCUGUAGAGUGAUGAGGCAACUGCUGCAUUACAUUUUGGAGAACUCGGAAGACGACACAAAGUCCCUGUUCUCCAUCAUCAAGAUUAUCAGUGACCUUUUGCACUUUAAAGGUUCUCACAAGAAUGAGUUUGACUCCCGUUGGAAAAGCUUCAACCUUGUUAAAAAGUCAAUGGAAAACAGACUUCAUGGCAGAAAGCAGCACAUCAGAGCUCUUCUCAUCGACAGAGUCAUGCUCCAGCAUGAGCUGAGGAAACUGACUUUGGAAGGAUGUCAGUACAGGAGCGUUCACCAGGAACUGAUGGGAGAUCUGCUGAGGCUCUCCACUAGCACAUACAGCCAAGUACGCAGCAGAGCUCAGAGUGUAUUGUUCACGGCUCUGGGAACCUAUAACUUCUGCUGCAGAGAUCUGAUUCCCCACGUCCUUGACCUUCUUAACCCAGACAACAGUAGCGUCAAGCAACAGCAGUUCAAAGGUGCGCUGUACUGUCUUCUCGGGAAUCACAGUGGAGUAUGUCUGGCUAAUCUUCACGACUGGGAGUGCAUCGCUCUGACGUGGCCAGCCAUCGUACGCUCUGGCCUCAGCUCAGCCAUGUCUCUAGAGAAGCCCUCCAUCGUACGACUCUUCGACGACCUUGCAGACAAAAUCCAUCGGCAGUAUGAGACCAUCGGCAUCGACUUUACUAUCUCUGGGGAGUGUUGCUCUGUGGCUAAACAGCUGAUGAUGGCAGGAAGUCCUGUUCCUAAAGAACUCGUUCCCACUGAGGAGGAAUCUGAGGAGGGUCUAAACCGACAGACGCUCAAAAACUCUGAGGCUGUAGAGAAUUACAAAGGGCUCGUGGGUGGUCUGCUGGACUGCCUCAGCAACAGAAACAUGCCCUGGAAGUUUGAGCACAUUGCAAUCGGCUUCUUGUCAUUGCUGUUGAGAGACGAUCACCAGCUCCCACCUGCAGCCGUCACGUUCUUUGUGGAAAGUCUCAACCACGACUCCCUCUACGUCCGUAAGGUGGCGAUAUCAGCUGUGGCUGGAAUCAUGAAACAAAUAAAAGUGCCACAUAAAAAAAUCCCCAUCAGCCCCUCUGAGCUCUGUGGGGUAAUAGAGGACAGGAUUGUAGCGGGGGACCGUCCAGACAACCAGUGGCUCCAGUAUAACAGCAACAAGCUGCCACUAACACAGGAAGACUGGGAUUGUUGUGCGUUUGUGGAAAAGACUCACUGGGGCUACUACUGCUGGCCAAGGAAACUGAUGAUGUACGCCCCUCUGGAGGAGCAGCCCAAACAAAACCUGAGCAAAGAAGAAAUGACGGAGCGAGAGCAGAUCAUCUUUGACCAUUUCUCAGACCCAGUAUUCAUCAACCAGUUCAUUGAGUUUCUGUCUCUGGAGGACCGUAAGGGGAAGGACAAGUUCAGCCCUCGGAGAUUCUGUUUGUUCAAGGGAUUAUUCCGCAAUUUUGGCGAUGCCUUCCUACCUCUGUUGCGUCCACACAUGGAGCGCCUGGUGGCGGACUCGCACGAGAGCAAGCAGCGGUGUGUUGCUGAGAUCAUCUCUGGACUGAUAAGAGGCUCCAAGCACUGGAGCUUUUCAGAGGUUGAGAAUCUUUGGGAGCUGUUGUGUCCUUUGCUUCGUACCGCCCUGUCAAACAUCACCGUAGAAACGUAUGCAGAUUGGGGUACUUGCAUCGCCACGGCGUGUGAGAGCAGAGACCCGCGCAAACUCCAUCGGCUGUUUGAGAUGUUGAUGGAGUCUCCGGUCACUGGAGAGGGGGGCUCGUUUGUGGAUGCCUGUCGUCUCUAUGUGCUGCAAGGAGGCCUAGCCCAGCAGGAGUGGCGUGUAUCGGAGCUUCUGCACAGACUGCUUCAAUACCUUGAGCCCAAACUCACACAAGUGUACAAGAAUGUACGGGAACGUAUUGGAAGCGUGCUCACGUACAUCUUCAUGAUUGAUGUCAACUUGCCACUCACUCAGCCAACCACCUCCCCGCGAAUCUCAGACUUCACAGAGAGAAUUCUGUUGAAACUGAAGCCCCUAACCGAAGGCGAUGAGGAGAUCCAGAACCACGUGGUUGAGGAGAACGAGGUGGGGGAGCAGGAUGAAAGGACGCAGGCGAUUAAGUUACUGAAAACAGUGCUCAAGUGGUUGAUUGCAAGCGCUGGCCGCUCUUUCACCACCGCUGUUCCAGAACAGCUGCGGCUGCUUCCGCUGCUCUUCAAGAUUGCUCCAGUUGAAAAUGAUGACAGUUAUGAUGAACUUAAGAGGGAUGCAAAGACCUGUCUGUCUCUAAUGUCUCAGGGACUCCUCUACUCAGAUCAGAUCCCCAUGGUCCUCGAUGUCCUGAAAGAGAUUGCUGGCAGCAGCUCUUGGCACGCCCGCUACACGGUGCUCACGUACCUGCAGAUCAUGGUGUUUUACAACCUGUUCACAUUCCUGAGCGAUCGGAAAGCAGUGCAUGAUGUGCGGGGACUGGUGAUCAAACUGCUGGAGGAUGAGCAGCUGGAGGUACGAGAAAUGGCCGCCACCACUCUGAGUGGCUUCCUUCAGUGCAACUUCCUGUCCAUGGACUCCCCCAUGCAAGUACAUUUUGAAUCUCUCUGCAAAACGCGCUUGCCUAAGAAAAGGAAGCGGGAGCUCGGCUUCGUCGUGGACACGAUUCCCUCUGCUGAUCUUGUUCGCCGCCAUGCGGGUGUUCUUGGUCUGAGUGCCUGCAUCCUGUCCAGUCCCUAUGACGUUCCUACCUGGAUGCCCCAGCUUCUGAUGGACCUGAGCGCCCACCUUAACGACACACAACCCAUUGAAGCACAUGACCGUAAAGAAAACUCUGUCAAAUUUCCGACGGACUCAUCAUGACAACUGGCAGCAACACAAGCAGCAGUUCACGGAUGAUCAGCUGCUGGUCCUCACCGACCUUCUGGUGUCUCCCUGUUACUACGCCUAAAACCUGCUUUGGAUGUCACCAGACUGCACACGUGUUUGCUUGCUUUGGAGUGGACGCUGUGGUUCCUGAAUGAAUAGAAACACGGCGUCCUCGCGGAGCUGGGAGACGAGACGUGACCCACCGUGGAACUGCACUUUGGCUCUCAAAAGGAUUAAAAACUUUUUUAUGUGUUCAACUCAUUUACAUUUGAACUAUACUUAAUAUUUAAGGAUGAAUUAUGGCAGGGAGGAAUGACCUUCAGUUUGUAACAUUACUGUACAGAGUUGUAUUUAAUUUUAUCCUUUUCUUUGUGGCUUGUUUGCCCGCAUGUGAACAGGAAUGCGUCCUGAGCAUGAUUAUGGAAUGUUUUAAGACAUCCGCUGUUACAACACAAUUCUCAGGAUUUCUCCGCUCUGCGCCACAAGCCACAGAGAACUAACAGACCAAUGGAGAGUGGACUCUUUAGGUCAGACUGAAACAUACAACACACAAUGUUUGUGUGGUUGUUUGGUCUAUAUGUGAUUGGAUGCAUCGUGUGUGUAUCAUCAGCAAAUGUGCACAAACUCAUUUAUUUUUUUGAAGUGCUGAGUUUUAUUCCUCUUUUGAUAGUCUCUACCUGAAAAUUUGUAGACGACUGAGCUGUUUGCAACAGAGCCUACUUUCAAAGCGGGAGAGUACAAAGCUCAUUACUGCUGUGAUGUUUGUUGUGAGGACCUGAGCAUAGUUGGAGCAACAUUUCAUCUGUCCGUGCAAGAAGACGAAGAAAAAAAGCCAAAUUGCCUGUCCGAUCCUGGACCUUCCCUCAGAUAUUUAACUGAUAACCUAGUGAGAAAACAUGUGGUAACUUUGGUUUGGGGAUGUUUUCCUCUGAUGACAUGAAACCAGUCUAAGCAUCAAAGCAUUUAGUACCUCACUUGCAUUUAGCGUAGUGCCAAAACUGCAGUGAUUUUUUUUUCUUUUUAGAUUUUUCUGAGAAAAUAAAUUGUUUGUAAAAAAAAAAA